AUCUUCCUAGUAUUAAAGUAGUACAAGUGACUUCCAAUCAUUUAGUCUUGGUUAAACCCCAGGGGAAGAUA
rnacentral:tRNA from 1 species